GACGAACGCUGGCGGCGUGCUUAACACAUGCAAGUCGAACGGAAAGGCCCCAGCUCGCUGGUUUACUUGACUGGCGAACGGGUGAGGCAUAAGAAGCUGAUCUGGCCUGCGCUCCAAGAGAAGGCAGGGGAACUUGGUCUAAUACCGGAUGGGACGGUACAUUAGGAUGUGCGGCGGAAAGGUGUUCGGUGCAGGAUGAGCCGGCGGCGUAUCAGCUUGUUGGUGGGGUGAUGAUCUGUCACUGCGGCGAGGGGUAGACGGCCCGCGAUGGUGUACGGCCACCAUAGGACUGAGACAAGGCCGAGAAGACUACGGGAGGCAGCAGUGGGGAAUAUUGCACAGUGGGCGGAAGACGGAUGAAGCGACGACGCGUGGGGGAUGAAGGCCUUCGGCUUGUAAACAACUUUCGGCAGGGAAGAAGAUUUUGUGACGGUACCUGGAUAAGAAGCACCGGCUAACUACGUG
rnacentral:rRNA from 1 species